UCGGCGACAUAGAGUUUUCGAUGGACGACUCUAUGCUUCCAGGAUGGGAUCCGAACCUUGCUUACGGCGACGGGAGCGGUUCGAGCGAGGCUCCUAUUCCGGAUUUCGAUGAUUUCUUUGCUGGGCUGCCAUCGGGUUUCGAUGCUCCUCCUCCUACGAAAGAAUCGGCGAGGCCGAGAGUCGUUGCGGAAGGAUCUCGCAUCAUCAAUGGGGUUUUUUUUUUUUUUUUUUUUUUAUUAUCCUAUGUAUGGAUUUGUAACACGCCCAUCGAAUUUGCAGGGCCUGAGCUUGCUGGGCUCGGCCAUCGAGGCGGGUCAUAGAGAAGCCAUGGUCUACCGUUUUAAAGCGGAGAAAGCGGAGCGGGAUCUUGCUCGCGUGCAAGGCGAGAUGCUGGAGCGAGAGGCACAGCUUACUCGCGAUCAUGCGCGGGCUGUUCGUAGAGCGGAGAGGAAAGGCAAAAGAGAAAUCGUUGAGGUGAUGAAGACUCGCGCAUCUCAGUUCCAGGUUGAAUACGGGAACCUUAAGAAUGCCUUUACCUCGGUGGGCGACUUUCGCGAGUGCCGUGGUUCGGUCGGAGGUCUUUGGCGGACGCAAGCCGACGACUAUGUGUUCGAAGAGGAAUGAGCUUGAUGAAGAGUGGGAUGAGUGACCGUGCCCACGCUGAGGCGCUUAUCCCUCCGAUCGACGAGAGGAUUCAAGGGUUCUGGGAUUCCAUCCCGGUUUCUCCUGAUACCGAGGAGGUCCCGAUUGAUUUUCACGAUGGUGGCGAGGAAGUGGAUCGUCCUGCGGAUGCGUUUGGUGCUUCGUUGUCCGGGGACUUCGACUUUGGAGUAUGAGGGGUGGAUCAGUUAUCCUUGUUUUCGGCCGAAUGUGGCCCUUUGAAUUUGGAUUUCGUUUAGGCCAAGAUGGCCGUAUUUGUAUUUCCGGGACUGGCCGUUGGUGGCUUUGAAUCCCUUGCCGCUUUUACGCGGUUUAUUUAUAUGAUAAAUGUUUUGUUUCAAGUUUUUCCUGAGUAAGGUUGAAGUAAAUACGAGUUGUCGUCUCGUAUGUAGUUCUAAUUAGACGUUCAAUCUGUUGGUUCGUUCGUGAUUUUCGUAAAAAUUUAUCUGUCUUUACGAUUUUCGAGAACAUUGAGAUACGAACGGAGAGGCAUGGUUUAUGAUCUCGUAUCUUUUAGAUAUCAUGCCUUGAGAUGUUUGAGACCAGAGCGUUGGGUUUAGGGCAAGACCUAGGUUUACUUUCGGUUAAGGUUUGUGCGGUGACUAGCCGGCUAUCGUUUUUCCUGUUGCGAUUUCUUCCUGACUCGCACCGGUUUAAAGUCCGCGAUAUGUUCUCGGCUUAUAUGACUUGUAUGGUACGAGUCGAGCAUCUUCUCAGAGUAAACUGGAAGUGCUAAACCAAAAUUUCGGAUUUUUGUUGUAGCGCGCUUUUGUCCUUGUGCUGGACGUUUUUAAAGAUCAAAAGAGUGAUCGGAUUGCGUUUGUUUAAGACGGCUGGCGUGUUCGUCGGGGCCAAUCGACGAACGGGGUGUAAGGUUUUUGGUGGUCGCGUUUGGACAAUUUGUUUAGCAUCGUCCUCGAAUUUUAACUUUUUGCGACGUCUCGCAGUUAUUUUCGAGGAUUAUGCGUGCAUUUUUGCGUGUUUGAGAGGUGAUACGUUUUUGGGCCGGAUGAGGCCGCAGACGAGUGUAAACUGAAGCGUAGGCGUUUUCGAUAAAAAGACAGUGUAUAUUGUAAAAAUUUUAUGUUUCUAAAAACUCGAUUACAAUAAUGGCGAUUGUGGGAGUAUAUGAGUAUACGCACCCACUCCCCCCCUUUUUAGAGAGGGGGAUAGCUGAACUCGUCUUUUGACAAGCUGCCUACGUACCCCUUUCGAGGAUCAAGCCAUCUCGUAGUUCUGUUUCAUGCCGCGAGUGUUCUUACUCAGCGGUUGGUGUCGCGAUGUCCGCCUUGACCGUGUCGAUCGUGGCUGGGUCGACGCUAUUUUCCGGAUGUUCCGGUUGAGUUGUCGCGUGGGCUUCGGGUUUAUGUCGAGCUUCGACAUCCGAUGCGUUUGCGUUGACAGAUGAUUUUACUUCGUCGUGGUGCGGGGCGCUUUUGGCCGAAGAUCGAUCUAUCUUCGCGCGUUUGCCGUUUGCAGAAGCCGUGAUUUGCCUUAACUUAUGCUCCGCGAGAAAGCAUAGUCGCGACUGUUUUUGGCAUCCCCAGAUGGCCGCGACUCCGUUCGGCGUUGGGAACUUGAGACCCAGGUGGUAAGUUGACGGAACUGCCUGCAUGGCGUUGAGCCAUGGGGUUCCCAUGAUCACGUUGUAGAUAGCGGGAUGGUCGACUACCGCGAAUUCGACGAUUUUCGUGAUCUCCUUGGCCAUGACUGGCAAUUGGAUCGACCCGAGAGUCAUCGACACUUCGCCUGAAAAACCCGUGAGUGGUUUUGGCGUUGGAAUUACUUCUCCAAGCUCGAUACUCAUCCGCUUGAGAGUGUCGCGGAAGAUUACGUUGACCGUGCUUCCCGUAUCGACGAGUACCCUUCCGACUUCUAAAUCUCGUAUGACGAGAUCUAUGACGAGCGGGUCGCAGUGAGGUUGGUCGAUACCGCCGGCUUCUUCCUCUGUGAAGGUGAUCGAGCAACUUUGGCCGUCUCGAGGAGGAGACCAUGUAGGCCAAUUUGCGCUUGAUUCUGCCUUCCGUUGGUAAGCCUUGAUGGCCGACACGGUAUCGCCGCAGUAUUGAGAUCCUCCGAUGAUCAUAUUGACUCUGCGACGAUUGUUAUCAUUCCCUUUGUCAUCCGGCCUCCUACCGCGUUUAUCCCCGGGUUGGUUUCGUUGAGGGAUUUUUCAGCGGGCAGAUUUCUGUCCGUUUUUGGGGGCCGAUCAGAAUCGAGGAUGAGAUCCUUGACGCUAGUUACCUCCGAAAGCUCUCCAGCGAGUAGCUUCGCGGCCAGUCUUGCUCCAAGACUUUGCAAUUGGUCGUGGAGUGUCCUCGGGAUUGGUGGAACUCGCAGAAGGUGUUCUCGUCGUACCCUUGAUUGCGAGUCCAUGUGUUGCCCGUGGUCCGGCCUUGCUCCGAAUUGAUCGCAUAGUUAUGCGCCCCUUGGAGAUCUUCCCCCUCGUGAUGGACGUACUUGUCGUUACGAGAGUUCUUCUUUUUCCCCUUCGGAUCCGCGUCUUUCGAGGAUGGUCUUGCCGGCUUAUGUUUUUGCGAUAAGACUUUAGUUUCUUCCUCGACUAUGAUGUAGUCCGUUGCUUUGUGGAGGGCGUCCUGGAUCGUUCGCGGUUUGUCGAGAGUUAUCCAUUUUCUGAAUUUCGACUUGUACCAGAGCGUCUUUCUCAGCGCGUCGAUGGCCACUUUGUCGCUUAUCCCGCUGACCCUGGACAUUAUCAGCUUGAACCGACUGAUAAACUCGCGGAGGGGUUCGUCUUCCCUCUGGGAGAGACUCCAGAGGUCCACAUCGGAGGUUUCCCUGUCUAUGAAUACAGAGUACUGUUUGAGGAAUUCCGAUGCGAGCUGUCGAAAACUCCCGAUGGUGUUGCGACGAAGGCGUGCGAACCAUUCGAGCGCUGCUCCUUCAAGAUUUUCGACAAACAAGCGGCAAUAGCCGGCAUCCUUUUCGCCGUCCUUCAGUCUUGCUCUUCCCAUCGCGAUAUGGAAAGCCUGAAGGUGCGCUUUCGGAUCGGCCGUACCAUCGUACUUUGGUACUCUGAUUUUUCCCGGAUCGGACACCCUCAUGUCCGAAAUGCGGCUGGUAAAGGGGGUCUUUCGAGCUCCUUCCAGCAGUCGAUCGAUCUCGGGGGCAGCACUAGUAGCAUGAUGGAUUUGAGACUUUACGGCUCUCACUUCUGCCGCAGUCUUAGUGAUGUAAUCGCGAAGAUCGCGGAUAUCCGAUGUCUCGUCAGUGGAUUUCCGAGCCUGUCGGCGUUUACUGCGAGUGAGCUCGGUUUGCCUUUCGGCCAGCUCCUCUUGUUCGUUCCAAUAGGCGACUUCUUCUUCUUCCGUCAUUGGUUUUUCGAACGGGGAGCCUUCCCGAGCGGAUCGGCUUCUAGUCCUUCUUGGAUGUCUGUCGACAUCCUCGUCGGUGUCGUUGGAGACAUCGCUAGGAUCCAGGUCAAUAUGUUCGGCUUCGUUAUCCUCCGAGUCCUUUGCAGGGGCGGAAGACUUUCAGAGUUCCCCUUUUCGAUGGGAGAUUUCUCGCUAGGUUUUGACCGGAAGGUCGUUCCCGCGCGACUCCUGCUCUAUCGAGUGGGGUGGCGAAGUCGAGCCUCUUCCCGCGGAUUUUGGUGGUUCCGCGGGGACGGAUAGCUUGGGUCCUUGCCGUUAAGGUUUCAACCUGUUUGGUCAAGGUAUUCACGAGCUUAUCCUGUUCUUCCGACCUUUUUCAUAGGUGGCGAACAUCUUUUUAAACUCCUCGAGAGUCGCGGCGUUGGCUUGCGCGUUGGCCGCAGAUACGUCCGCUACCGGAGUGUGGAGAUCGGUGCCGCUGCCUCCGUUAAGGGGAGUUUGCACGUUAUCCGCGUCGUUGGUUGACAUGUCUGACUGUGUGUGGCUUUUGCGGGUUAGAUUGAUCCGUAAGGCCCCCUCCUUCUAGCGCCAAACUGUGGGAACCGAAAUUCGCACUGUCGAUUUCCGUUUAAAUAAGGAAACUAAGAAAACCCUAGUUUCCCAGAGGACCCGGAUAUCUGUUAAUUACCACACGUCAAGCAAUCAGAACACGAGAAUAACAACGAUAAAGAUAAGAAAUCGAAAAGAGAGCAAAGUAGAUCUUAUUCCGAAUCUGCGUAUGAGCGUUACAACAAGGUAUAAGCCUGGGCUCGAGAGCUGUCGGCGAGAUUCCUAGUUCUAGCAACCCUAAGACGGCUAAACCUAAUUGAGUCGCAGCUCGAAAUAACAAAAACGGAAAGUUGCCUAAAUCGCUCUAAGUGCUAAGUUUGCUCUGAAAAAGUUCUCUUCUGCUCCUCGCCUAGGACUCCUUAUAUACUAGCUCCAAGGUCGGUUUACGUUUUACUCUUCUGCCCUUAAGCCGUCAUAGCAAAAAAUGGAGAUAUUCCAUUUUUCCCGAUCUUCACAAUUAUCUUCAAAACUUCCGUAUUUAUCCGCGGAAACUUGACAUUUAUCCUUCCUCGUGGGCCAAGCGUGAACCAUGCUGUGGUUCACGGGCUUUUGAUUAGGAAAAAUCGUAGGAUGGGCCUCGAGUCGUGUUUUAGGUCCCUUUGGGCCGUCUUCCGACUCGACACGUUUACUACGAGUUUUCCGCGGUUUCUAAUCGAAGUUUUGAUCGAUGGAUUAGAAUAGCGGGAAACAUGGACUGAGCUUGCCACGGUCUUCGGGAGAUAGCAUUCGAAGGUUUGACGAGAAUGCAAGGACUGGUGUCGUAUCGAUGUUCGGAAAGGUUCAAUCGCUACACAGCGACCGACUUGGCUCGAGCCCGGUCGCUACGUAGCGACCGAGCGACGAUCGCUCGGUCGCUACGUAGCGACCGAGCUUGGCUCGAGCUCGGUCGCUACGUAGCGACCGAGCGGGACGAUCGCUCGGUCGCUACGUAGCGACCGAGCUUUGGCUCGAGCUCGGUCGCUACGUAGCGACCGAGCGGGACGAUCGCUCGGUCGCUACGUAGCGACCGAGCUUGGCUCGAGCUCGGUCGCUACGUAGCGACCGAGCGGGACGAUCGCUCGGUCGCUACGUAGCGACCGAGCUGGACGAUCGCUCGGUCGCUACGUAGCGACCGAGCUUGCGAGCUGGUCGCUACGUUGCGACCGAACUUGGCUCGGGUUUGUUUGAAUCUCAAAGGAUACUUCUUCGUAAAAACCUCGUGUAGGUUAUUUUUACGAAAUUACAUCCCUUCUUUUACUAACUCUUUCGGAAAUGCGAUCUCCGAGGAUUUUCGGGGGUAAUUCCGUCGUGACCGUUUUUGACCCCAACAGGCGUGAUGAUGGAAUUAAUAUCGAAAGUCCGAGCGCUCAUCCCGCUCGGUCGCUAUGUAGCGAUCGAGCGGGACGAGUGCUCGGUCGCUACGUAACGACCGAAGGACGAGUGUGCUCGGUCGCUACGUAGCGACCGAGCCAGCGAGCUUUGGUUCGAGCUCGGUCGCUACGUAGCGACCGAGCUUUGGCUCGAGCUUGGUCGCUACAUAGAGACUGAGUGGGUCGGACGUUCGAUCGCUAGCAGUGGCCGAUAUCGGCCCGAACUUGGUGCUACGUAGCGACCGGGCGGCGUGUAUGCGCAUAAUUACGCAACGACUGAGCCUGGUUUGUUUGGUUUGAAUCUUCAAGGAUACUUCUUCGUAAAACUUCGUAUGGUGAUAUUUUACGAAAGUUGUAUCCUUCUUUUUACUAUCCUUCGGAAAUACGAUCUCCGAGGAUUUUCGGGUGGUAAUUCCGUCGUAACCGUUUUUGCCCCAACAACCCCAAGAUCCGUUGUGGGGGUUGUGAUUCUCGGAGGAGCCUUCUUUCUGAAUGAUUUCAUUUUUUGUUUUGAGACUCCGGCUUUUGUUGCUCUCUUUUUUGUUUGACUAAAGGCUCUUUGCAGCCCCCUUUGAUUUUUUGGAAUAAUGAUGCUUCAUAGUUUUUUCCUUUUUAUCCACUCCUUCCUGUUGCUUCGCAUGCUUCUGAUAGUAGUGUUUCGAAUAUUUCUUUUUAAGAGGAUCUCAUUCCGCAUGUUUCCCGAUCGAGAUGGGGCUUGUAGUAUAUGAUCACUCUUUAUCCUUUCUGUAGGUUAGAUAAUAGGAUCCCGGGAGAUGGGCUCCAAAACAGAGGUUUUGAGCUAAAUUAUGGACUCUUGAAAUCUGGAGAUUGCUCUUGUAACCCGGAGGUUGCGUGAGGACCCAGAGGUUGUUUGGGGACCCGGAGGUUGUCUGGGGACCCGGAGGUUUUCUGGGGACCCGGAGGUUGUCUGGGGACCCAGAGGUCGCGGAGGAGCCCGAAGGUUCUCCCUUAGAUCCUGAAAUCACACUCGGGACCCAGAGGUCCUUCUAGACCAUGAGGUCUUGCUUGGGACCCGGAGGUCCUUCUCUAGAUAAUGGGAUCAUGACUGGAGCCCGGAGGUGGUGUAGGAACCCGAAGAUUCUUUGAUAGAUCCGGAGAUCUUAGUUGGAACCCGGAGGUUUUCAUGAUCGUGAUUGAACUGUGAGGUCGUGUGAGAAUACAUGGUUUUUCCCUGAGAUCGUAUCGGGACCCUGGUGUUUGCAUUUGGACCCUGACGUCGCAUGGGAACCUGGAGGUUUUUAGGGCACAUGAGUAUCCAUAUUUUUGCCAUCGGAACCGCUUCACUAUCAGCCAAAGUCCGAUGCAAACCCGAGUUACCUGAUCAUGCUUCACUCCGCGACAUCUCGACUUUGAAGUCCUGUUAAUCACAAAAGUAGUGAUCCCCGUAAGUCGUAUGUCCAGUAAAACUGAAACUGUAAAUUACAACCAGCCCCUUGUUCACAAAGGGCUGGUUGUAAUUUCAAUAGCCCUUGUGAACAAACAAAAAAAAACUGAAAUUGUUUUACGUUUCUAACCCCCGUAAGUCGUCUGUCCAGACGACUUACUGGAAAGUCGUCUAGACUAGUUAUACUUUAAAAUAAUUUAAACUUUUUGUAAAAAAUAUUUUGAUAAGUGAAAAAUUGAAAACAUGUAAUUAACAUAUAUUUUAAGAGAUAUAAAUUAAGAUGUAACAAAAGUUAAUUGUUUUCAACAUAGAUGAGUGAAAGUAGUGAGUCAUGAUAUUCUUUGGUUUAGGUUUUGCCAACAUAUGUUGUAGUAUUGUAUGUGUUCUUAGGGUUAGAUUUUGGAAUGUAUAAAUGUUUUUUUUGAAAACUUUAAAAUUUACCUAAGUGUGUUUAUUUAUGUAUAUAGUAAACACUAUUUAAGUAUAACAACGGCUUUAUAAUGUGGUUAGUUAGUUAAGUUAGUCAAUUUAGUUUAGGGGUUAAAUUUAGGGUCUGGGACGACUUACUAGUAAGUCUUCCGAUGUACAGUAUUCAACAGAUGACUUACUAGUAAGUCGUCCAAACCGGACCGAACCUUUCAUUUUACAAUGUACUUUUAAACCUAACCGGAUUAUUUACAAGCCAUAUAUAAGGUGUUUUUUUAAUUCACUUUUUCGCGAAAUUCAGAAAACCCUAACGCUGUUUCUGUCAAAGGCGAUUUCGAAGGUGAUUUCCGUUGAUUCUCUCUAAUCCAUCGUUCUCACCGCCGGUUAUCUCUCCGCCGUUAUCACCGUCGUUUUCACCACCGUUCUCACAGCCGCUUCCUCUAUUUAAGAUCUGAUAGGAAACCCUAGCGCACAUUCUCUCAGAGGCGUCUCGUUAACUAACAUAAAAUGUUGUCUCUAUCAAUUUAUACACUCGUUCUUUUUUCACAUCUAUUCUUCCAGAUAUAUAACCGCUGUGUUGAAGGCGACUAUAUCUUCUCUGAAUUUUCAGGUCGGCUUUUAAAUGUUCUACUGGAAGUCUUGGAAGACUUAUAAUUAAAUCACGACUUAAUUAUAAGUCUUUCAGCUGGAAAACUUGCCAGACGACUUAAUUAUAAGUCUUUGAUUGUUUUGAGAUGGUUGUCUUUGAUUUUUUGGACGUUGCAUACUGCUUUAACGAAUUUGAAGAGCUGAAGGAGUCGAAGUUGGGAGUUUUCAUCAAGUUCCAAGAGCUAGAAUUUGAUUGGGCUUCAAGGCUGGUCACUACAUGAUCAGUUUCCAGCUGGACAUAAAGAAGAAGUAUGAGCUGUGGAGUCUCGUUGGUCCACAAGCUGUAAGGUUUUCAGUGUUAGAGUUUGAAAACCUCACUGGUCUAAACUGCGAGUACAUCGAGGACCUUGAGAGACCUCACUGGUCAAAAUAUGUGCGACUAUUAUGGCUUUAUUAUGUAUGUAUUAUUAUUUCUUCACCUGCUUUCAUGAGAUUGUGUUUCUCUGUUACAUGCUGAUUUUUAUUACUGUUUUCAUUAGGUUUGUAAGACUAUUUUUGUCUGUAGAUGGAUACUAAAUGAAUUAAUAAAUAUAAUAAACCAAAAGUACAGAUUGCAGGUAUUGAAUUAGGAAAAUAUAGAAAGAAAUAGAUAUAAAAUGUAAAAUAGGAAAGCUUCAAACUUCAAACUAAUAUUUACAUUCAACAAGCUAUUUCAGAUCAGUUUAACUUUUUAUAGGCAGAUCAAACUUAAUUUUAUAUGUUUGCGGUUAAUUAUGAUAGUUGUGUUAAUUUUUUUAUGUAUAACUAUACCCAUUUUUUUAUGAUAAAACAAAUUUAUUGUAAACAUGUCAACUUUAGUCAACUAAAAUGUGUUUUUUUGUAAGUAAAAAUAUUCCCAUGCAAAGCAUGGGACCAACACUAGUUAUAAAUGAAAAAGAAGCUUCUAAAACCUCUAACCUCCCACUAGAAGUUCGAUCUUGCGUUUGUGUUUCGGUGGCCGUCGGCUUCAUCGCCGUCGGUUACCGCUCUGUUUCUGGUUUUUGAUUAGUUCUGAUCUAUAGUCGGAACCACCUCCGGCUUGUCGGCUUUUACUUUUACUUGUACUUUGUACAUCUCCGUUUUGUUCGGUUUAUGCUCCGACUAGAGUCGGUUUAUUUUCUCUCUCACCUUUUGCAUGUUUGUAUGAUCAUUCCGCUCUGCUCGGAAGAGUGAUAUGUCGGGUAUUAGAUCGGCUUUUGCUUUUCACUGGUUUUGCUUGAUUGUUUCUUCAUCGAAGAGUAAUCUUUUCGUUUGUGUUAUAUGAGCAGUUAGAACGAAGUAUCUUCAUGUUAGAUACAUCAAGUGAUUCGGAUUAUUGGGUGAUUUACACGAAGAUUUAGAGAUGCUGGUCGUGUUCUGAUGGUGCUAUAAAGAAUGUUAAGACCUCAAUCAUCUGCGGUUUUAAUUUAUUCUGGUGUUACGAAAAAUCCGACUCUUGAACCGGAGAAAGCAAAAGUUCAAUCAGUUUCAAAGGUAGAAGUAUAGGUGUCUGAAGUGAAGAGCAAAGCCUUAAGCUUCUUUUGACAUGGCUCAUACAACGAUGCAAGCGGCGAAGCGACAAUCAGAGUUAAUCAAGAUGUGGUGGUAAUCACGACUACGUGGCUCUGCUGAAUCCAGAGAUAAUGGGGACACGUGCCAUAAUUUAUUUCAUCCUCUGUUCAAAACGCCUACAAGACGUUCCGCGUUCUGACGAACGUAACGAAAUAAAGAAGGUUGUUCGUGAGAUUAAGCUCGGUCUUAAGAUGGCUCAAGAUCGGGAGUGUGCCAAUGCUGGCCCAACUGGCUGUCAUCGAAAAUCUGGGGNNNNNNNNNNNNNNNNNNNNNNNNNNNNNNNNNNNNNNNNNNNNNNNNNNNNNNNNNNNNNNNNNNNNNNNNNNNNNNNNNNNNNNNNNNNNNNNNNNNNACUGUCGAUUCCGUUUAAAUAAGGAAACUAAAAAAACCCUAGUUUCCCAGAGGACCCGGAUAUCUGUUAAUUACCACACGUCAAGCAAUCAGAACACGAGAAUAACAACGAUAAAGAUAAGAAAUCGAAAAGAGAGCAAAGUAGAUCUUAUUCCGAAUCUGCGUAUGAGCGUUACAACAAGGUAUAAGCCUGGGCUCGAGAGCUGUCGGCGAGAUUCCUAGUUCUAGCAACCCUAAGACGGCUAAACCUAAUUGAGUCGCAGCUCGAAAUAACAAAAACGGAAAGUUGCCUAAAUCGCUCUAAGUGCUAAGUUUGCUCUGAAAAAGUUCUCUCUGCUCCUCGCCUAGGACUCCUUAUAUACUAUAUACUAGCUCCAAGGUCGGUUUACGUUUUUACUCUUCUGCCCUUAAGCCGCGUCAUAGCAAAAAAUGGAGAUAUUCCAUUUUUCCCGAUCUUCACAAUUAUCUUCAAAACUUCCGUAUUUAUCCGCGGAAACUUGACAUUUAUCCUUCCUCGUGGGCCAAGCGUGAACCAUGCUGUGGUUCACGGGCUUUUGAUUAGGAAAAAUCGUAGGAUGGGCCUCGAGUCGUGUUUUAGGUCCCUUUGGGCCGUCUUCCGACUCGACACGUUUACUACGAGUUUUCCGCGGUUUCUAAUCGAAGUUUGAUCGAUGGAUUAGAAUAGCGGGAAACAUGGACUGAGCUUGCACGGUCUUCGGGAGAUAGCAUUCGAAGGUUUGACGAGAAUGCAAGGACUGGUGUCGUAUCGAUGUUCGGAAAGGUUCAAUCGCUACACAGCGACCGAUCUUUGGCUCGACCCGGUCGCUACGUAGCGACCGAGCGGGACGAUCGCUCGGUCGCUACGUAGCGACCGAGCUGGCUCGAGCUCUCGGUCGCUACGUAGCGACCGAGCGGGACGAUCGCUCGGUCGCUACGUAGCGACCGAGCUUUGGCUCGAGCUCGGUCGCUACGUAGCGACCGAGCGGGACGUCGCUCGGUCGCUACGUAGCGACCGAGCUUGGCUCGAGCUCGGUCGCUACGUAGCGACCGGCGGGACGAUCGCUCGGUCGCUACGUAGCGACCGAGCGGGACGAUCGCUCGGUCGCUACGUAGCGACCGAGCUUGGCUCGAGCUCGGUCGCUACGUAGCGACCGAGCGGGACGAUCGCUCGGUCGCUACGUAGCGACCGAGCUUGGCUCGAGCUCGGUCGCUACGUAGCGACCGAGCGGGACGAUCGCUCGGUCGCUACGUAGCGACCGAGCUUUGGCUCGAGCUCGGUCGCUACGUAGCGACCGAGCGGGACGAUCGCUCGGUCGCUACGUAGCGACCGAGCUUGGCUCGAGCUCGGUCGCUACGUAGCGACCGAGCGGGACGAUCGCUCGGUCGCUCGCUACUAGCGACCGAGCUUGGCUGAGCUUGGUUGCUACGUUGCGACCGAACUUGGCUCGGGUUUGGUUUGAAUCUCAAAGGAUACUUCUUCGUAAAAACCUCGUAUAGGUUAUUUUUACGGAAAUUACAUCCCUUCUUUUACUAACUCUUUCGGAAAUACGAUCUCCGAGGAUUUUCGGGUGGUAAUUCCGUCGUGAACCGUUUUUGACCCCAACAGUUAGCCCCCCAGCCCGUUAGGAUCAUGCAUCGUAGGAUCCUAGCGUGCGGUUAGGCAUGUUUGGCAAGUUAGGCGUGAUGGGUGGAAUUAAUAUCCGAAAGUCCGAGCUUGAAUAGUAAAUCCUCAUGUCUUAUAAGAAGAGAGGUAACUUGUUCCAUAAUUUUUUCACUUUCUUGUUUUUCUCUAAGAUCUCUAAAAAAAACUUUCUAUCUUUCUUUCCACCCUUUUCCUUUAUUCUCUCAAGAGAAGUGCAAAGAUGUCGAGCAAGAAAAAGAUUGCGAAAAAAGGGUCUUCGUCCGCGAGCCCUUACGAAGAGCUCAUCGUUCCGAAGAUGGAGUUCGUGCCUCACUCGGUGCAUCCUGCCGAGAACGAGGCAUGGUGGGUUGCUCAUUAUGGCUCGUUGACCCUCCCAAGGAGAAGCCAUUCCCGAUCCUGGUCCAUCGUGGAGUCGAGGAAGAGGAUGCAAGCAGGACUACCGACGAGUUUCUCGCGACGAUGCGGUCGUUCUACCACACAUCUCGGAUGCCGUGGAGUUCCGGGUUCCCUGCCGCGGGGAAUGUGCUAACAACCCCCCGGAGGGUUACUUUACUUGUUAUGAGGCGUUCAUAGUGCGUUGUCGCCUCUGGUUCCCCAUACCCGAAAUUCUCGUCCGAGUGUUGGACCGUUUCGAAGUUGCGAUAAGUCAGUUGACACCCCUUGCCAUUCAACACCUUAUUGGGAUCUUGAUCCUAAGCUAUGAGCAUGGCCUUUCCCUCUCCGUCGAUCAUUAUGAAGCGCUUUUGAGGCUUCAACUUGUCACGGAUUCGGAUAAGCAUAGGUUUGUCCCUCGGAAAUUUAUGUCGGUGGUUAAGAAGUUCAUUUCAAACUUCAACUCAACUCGUGGAAGAUUCUUUUUCUUUGUUCGUUUGGACGCUGCGUCCGUCGAAGAGAGUUGCAUUCCACUGUUCCGAAGGUUGCCGAACAAUCGUCCUUUCAUCAAUCCUCUUGCUCCGUUCCCCGAAGAUAUCAUUUCGGUGAGGGAUCUUCUCAGGAAUGGUCCCUUCUUCUGGACUUCUUUUACGCCGAAGAGGGUUCGGAAGGCACUGAGAUUCGUGCAACCCGGUCCCGCUUUGGAUGCGGACACGGGAAGCGACUCCGAACCCGACGACCAGAAUCCCGUCGAAGCCCCGACAGCUGUGCCGGAGUCGAGCUCUUGGAAGGGAAAAGAUGUCGAUCUUGGCGACAUAGAGUUUUCGAUGGACGACUCUAUGCUUCCAGGAUGGGAUCCGAACCUUGCUUACGGCGACGGGAGCGGUUCGAGCGAGGCUCCUAUUCCGGAUUUCGAUGAUUUCUUUGCUGGGCUGCCAUCGGGUUUCGAUGCUCUUCCUCCUACGAAAGAAUCGGCGAGGCCGAGAGUCGUUGCGGAAGGAUCUCGCAUCAUCAAUGGGGUUAGUUUUUUUUUUUUUUUUUUUUUUAUUAUCCUAUGUAUGGAUUUGUAACACGCCCAUCGAAUUUGCAGGGCCUGAGCUUGCUGGGCUCGGCCAUCGAGGCGGGUCAUAGAGAAGCCAUGGUCUACCGUUUUAAAGCGGAGAAAGCGGAGCGGGAUCUUGCUCGCGUGCAAGGCGAGAUGCUGGAGCGAGAGGCAC
rnacentral:lncRNA from 1 species